UACGAAGGGGGCUAGCGUUGUUCGGAAUUACUGGGCGCAAAGCGCACGUAGGCGGGCUCUUAAGUCAGGGGUGAAAUCCCGGGGCUCAACCUCGGAACUGCCUUUGAUACUGUGAGUCUUGAGACCGGAAGAGGUGAGUGGAAUUCCUAGUGUAGAGGUGAAAUUCGUAGAUAUUAGGAAGAACACCAGCGGCGAAGGCGGCUCACUGGUCCGGUUCUGACGCUGAGGUGCGAAAGCGUGGGGAGCAAACAGG
rnacentral:rRNA from 1 species